AUCAUGCUCAGGAUGAACGCUAGCUACAGGCUUAACACAUGCAAGUCGAGGGGCAGCAUUUCAGUUUGCUUGCAAACUGGAGAUGGCGACCGGCGCACGGGUGAGUAACACGUAUCCAACCUGCCGAUAACUCGGGGAUAGCCUUUCGAAAGAAAGAUUAAUACCCGAUGGUAUAAUUAGACCGCAUGGUCUUGUUAUUAAAGAAUUUCGGUUAUCGAUGGGGAUGCGUUCCAUUAGG
rnacentral:rRNA from 1 species